rnacentral:tRNA from 1 species
UAUAGAUAUAGCUUAACAAAAGCGCCUAACUGUUAAUUAGCAGCUACACCUUGUGUUGUCUAUAU